rnacentral:rRNA from 1 species
GACGCUGGCGGCAGGCCUACACAUGCAAGUCGAGCGCUUCACUUCGGUGAGGAGCGGCGGACGGGUUAGUAACGCGUGGGAACAUACCCUUCUCUAAGGAAUAGCCACUGGAAACGGUGAGUAAUACCUUAUACGCCCUUCGGGGGAAAGAUUUAUCGGAGAUGGAUUGGCCCGCGUUAGAUUAGAUAGUUGGUGGGGUAACGGCCUACCAAGUCGACGAUCUAUAGCUGGUUUGAGAGGAUGAUCAGCAACACUGGGACUGANACACGGCCCAGACUCCUACGGGAGGCAGCAGUGGGGAAUCUUAGACAAUGGGCGCAAGUCUGAUCUAGCCAUGCCGCGUGAGUGAUGAAGGCCUUAGGGUCGUAAAAGCUCUUUCGCCAGGGAUGAUAAUGACAGUCCUGGAGAAUAAGCUCCGCU